GGUAAAAUGGCUGAGUAAGUAUUAGACUGUAAAUCUAAAGACGAAGGUUGAAUCCUUCUUUUGCCA
rnacentral:tRNA from 1 species